AGAAGCGUCUUAGUCAUGCUGGCCACAUGACCCGGAAGCUGUCUGCGGACAAACACCGGCUCCCUCGGCCUAUAGAGCAAGAUGAGCGUGCAACCCCAGAGUCGUCCGCUACUGGACCUAACGGCCAGGGGUACCUUUACCUUUACCUUUACUGAUUAAAAGGCAGGCGGAGCUCCUGAACGUGCAUCUUCCACACCAUAUACCACUUGAUCUACAGACUUGGGAGGACACCUUUCCAUUUGGAGGCAGGUCUGGGGAUCACCAUCUAAAUGCAAGCAUUGUCCCAGUCUAUUAACUUUUUGGGACCCUAACCAGAGUAAGUAAAAGGGACAGGACCGAGCAGGCAAGUAGAAGCAGCUCCAAUCUAUCCAUCAUCUCUCUUGCCAGCCCUGGUUGGAGGCAGCGCCCUGCUCACAACUUCCUGCCUGCCUCUCUCCAUACCAAUUUUCCCUGCAAUUAGACUACAGUAGUACCUUGGGUUACAUACGCUUCAGGUUACAGACUCCGCUAACCCAGAAAUAGUACCUCGGGUUAAGAACUUUGCUUCAGGAUGAGAACAGAAAUUGCGCCGUGGUGGCGCGGCAGCAGCGGGAGGCCCCAUUAGCUAAAGUGAUGCUUCAGGUUAAGAACAGUUUCAGGUUAAGAACGAACCUCCGGAACAAAUUAAGUACGUAACCAGAGGUACCACUGUAGUAAGGUUUAUGUGCAACAUUUGUACACCAUCCAAAGAUGCACAUCAGUACUUCCAUUGCCUCUCUCUCAAUUCGAGGCAGCCCACUCCCCUUUUAUGCAUGUGCAGGACAGGAGGGGGGGUUGCAUCCCCCCCCAUCUUCCCGUUUCCUGCUCGACUGCAGGCUGCCACUAUCCUUAAGAGUCUGCUGUACGAAGGGCAAAACACUGCAGCCUUUCAACAUGACAAGCAGAAGAGAUAGCAAGGCUCCAACUCCCUGCCUGUGGCUGGAAAAACACGCCCCCCCCCCAUGAAUUUCUAUUCCCGGGGACCUGCGAGAGAGGAGGAGCCAUCCCAUACCCAGACUGUCCUCGGAACCUCCGGGGAAUAACAUAAUUAUCAUGUUGGCCAACAGGGAAACGGUUUCCAGGUUCUCGUUUCUCCGGCGAUGGACUAAUUUGCGACCAACACUAACGUGGGGAGGAAAAUGAUUUCGAAACGAGAAUUUAAUUUGAUUAGGGGUUCUGCUAAAACUUCAGGGCUGCCAAUUCCAGCCUUUUGAGAACUGUGUAAAUGUGUUUUUUCCCCAGAGGUUUGGGGGUAUGGGGGGAAUUAGAGUGGUAGAAGAAGUAACAUUUGACAUCAUUGCCCCUUCCUCAUAUUCUGGUGAGGAAUUUGCUUCCUCCUUACUUUGAAUUAUGCAUACAUAAUUCCUGGAUUACUGGAAUGUACCGUAUUUUUUGCUCUAUAAGACUCACUUUUUCCCUCCUAAAAAGUAAGGGGAAAUGUGUGUGCAUCUUAUGGAGCGAAUGCAGGCUGCACAGCUAUCCCAGAAGCCAGAACAGCAAGAGGGAUUGCUGCUUUCACUGCGCAGUGAUCCCUCUUGCUGUUCUGGCUUCUGAGAUUCAGAAUAUUUUUUUUCUUGUUUUCCUCCUCCAAAAACUAGGUGCGUGCGUCUUGUGGUCUGGUGCGUUUUAUCGAGCGAAAAAUACGGUAACUUCCUCCUUUUUCUCCCUAUGUAGUCUCCUCCUCCUGGGGUGUGGCUGUCCUCUCUUGCCAGCUACACUCUGAAUUUCCUCUGGCACGCUGCUCCUGCUCUCCCUGUUCUUUCCCUCAGUGUCUCUCCUGCAACAACACCCUUCCCUGUGACUGGCUGAAUAAAACCACUUAACAAGGGAUAACUGCCAAAAUGGGCUUGUGACCACUUGGUAAGGUGUCCCUCUGUGCUGCCUCACCUUUUCUGGGGAAUAUUUCCUGUAAAAUCUCUCCAGGCUGGUUAGCCCAGCUUACCCCACCCGCCUGCUAGGACCUACUAAUAAACCAGCCGUUUUUAAAGAGAGAAGGAAUGUGAUAAUCUUAUCAGCCUAUGGAGUUGUGUAUUCCUGA